CACAUCUUUACACCUGGAAUUUAAGAUCCCUUUUAGGUUAUUAGUUAGAAAGUGUAAGUUGUUUUCUCCCCAUCUUCAAGGAUUUAUCUACCUUUGGUCUUUGAUGUUGGUGAUCUUCAGAUGGGGUCUCUGAGUGGACAUCCUUUUUAUUGAUGUUGAUACUAUUCCUUUCUGUUUAUUAGUUUUGCUUCUAACUGUCAGGCCCCUCUGCUGCAGGUCUGCUGGAGUUUGCUGGAGGUCCACUCCAGACCCUGUUUGCCUGGGUAACACCAUCAGAAGCUGCAAAACAGCAAAGAUUGCUGCCUGUUCCUUCCUCUGGAAGAUUUGUCCCAGAGGGGCACCCGCCAGAUGCCAGCCAGACCUCUCCUGUAUGAGGUGUCUGUCAGCCCCUACUGGGAGAUGACUCCCAGUCAGGAUGCACGGGGGUCAGGUACCCACUGACGAGGCACUCUGUCUCUUAUCAGAGCUUGAACGCUGGGCCAGGAGAUCUGCUGCUCUCUUCAGAGUUGUCAGGAAGGGAUGUUUAAGUCUGCUGAAGCUGCACCCACCCACAGCUGCCCCUUCCCCCAGGUGCUCUGUCCCAGGGAGAUGGGGUUUUAUCUGUAAGUCCCUGACUGGGGCUGCUGCCUUUUUUUCAGAGAUGUCCUGCUCAGAGAUGAGGAAUCAUAAGCAAUUAGAUCUUUAAAAUGACUUUACAUUAGCCUACUUUCUUCCCAUAUGUACCAUAUAUAUGGUAUAAUCUGUAUGGGAAAGGAGGCAUUUCAAGGUUUAAAAGAAUAUAAAUUUUGGAUUUAAUGUUUUUGAUCUUAACAUAUUUGUGUCUCAACAGGGAAGACAAUUAGAAAUGUAACAAGAGGGUUCUAUUUGAUUCAUUUAAAAAAUGGAAAGUGGCACCCAGGGUGAGGCUGGCAUGUCAAACAAUUACUGAGAGCAAUGCCACCAUUUGCCUUUGUGUGUGUGUGUGUGUGUGUGUGUGAAUUAGGAUCUGUUUUUUAAUGGUCACUCUAUUUACAUAGUAACAUUCCUUGAAGCAAUAUAUGCAGAUUCAUUCUCGACAUAAGUUUUUUUGCUUUUGCUAAAAUAGUUUUUGCUUAAAAUUACUCCCUCUCUUUUCUGGCUACAACUACUUCCCAUCUUCUCCUUGAUUUUUUCAAUGACUUAGGAAAAGAUUAACAUGAUUUAAGUCCCGUUUCUCAUGACUGUAAUUACAAGACUAGUUUAGUUCCACUUUCUUGUAGACGAAUUCCUACAUUUUGCUGAUGUUUUGGCCCAUUCUUAUAAACUCCACUGUCUGGGGAGCAGGAAGCAUUCUGACAAAUUGUCUCUUUGGGAACAGAAGUAUAUUUUAUUGAGUCAAUUAUCUUGAUAAAUCACGUUAUAUUUGAGUUUUUGUAGUUUUGUGGAUAAACAUUUUUACUUGGAAUCCCUUUGUUGUUCACUGUGUUAGCACCCAUGAUUCAAACAAUCCUUGAUCUUGUCAUUAGUAGUAUAUGUAGAGAAGAAUUCACUGUAGGAAUUUAAGAAGUGACUUUUCAACACAGCUUCUCUAAUACAGUAUUUAAUAUCCCACACAUAAUUCAAAAUAAAAGUAAGAAAUAAAAGUCUAUUGGAAAGACUUAGCACAAAAUUCAGUGUAAGAUUCCAUGUAAGAAAUAUUGAUUAGAACAUAUUCUACGAGAGUCUAGAGAUGAGGUUUAUGUCUCAAAUGUUUGUUUUAAGCUUAUUAGAAAUACCAUCUAUUAGUAAAAAUUACUUCUUUGGAAUGAGAUGAGAAAAUUCUGAAUAUGGACUCAGAUGCCAAAAUAUGUUAAUAGCAUAAAAUACAGACAUGAACUGAGAAGGCGGUUUCACCAAAGACACAAGAGAAAUUAAAUCACAUACAUUUUACAAUGUAAACUAAAAUAGACUAUACAAAAAUACCUUGCUAACAGAGAAAUGGGUCAUCAGUCUGUUGUUGUUACUUUUUUUGUUGCUGUUUCUUAAUGGUUACUUAAUACCUACCUGUAGUGCAAUUAUAUGUUGUAGAAUUCUGUCACAAAAAAAAGGCCUAAACCAACGGGAUGACUUAAAAGAAAAAUAAACAUUUCAAAGAUUCAAGUAAUUUAUCAGGAAAUACUGAAAGUACAUCCUAUAAUUUUUUUUAAAACUUGAAAAUUGCACCUCACAUUUUGUCUGGAGAGUUAGGCAACAUCUGUAUUUUUCAACUUUGUCAGUUAUUCAGGACCUAUUACAGACCACACAACUUUGAGCUUUGAAAGAAAUCCACAGAUAUAUAAUUUAACUCAUUGUGUAGCUAAGGAAAUAGGACUGAAGAAAUUAAUGAUUUACUGGACAUCAAGUUACAUGUAAGCCGAUUUUUAACCUAGAUUUCCAAAUGUCCACUCCAAUGCUUUCACCACUAUUGCCUGGUAGGUAUCACAUAUUAUUAAGUUUGUUUUGUGUUUUAUGGAUUAUAUUUAGCAUAAUUCUGAGACUUAGAAGAGGUUCAAUAAAUGCUUAUUACAUGUAUAAAUGAAAAAUGGCCUGGAGGUAGCAUAAGUCAAUAUUCCAUUUUUCAUCAUAGCUUUCAUCAAACAAAUCUUAUAUUUAUUCCUGGAAUCUAUUGCACACCACAAAUCAAAUGUGCAUAGCAAAUAGAUUUUUUUUAAACCUAGCCCGGCCAAAUUGAUCUUGAACUUCUCCGUGCUUGUUCAACAAUUCUGGUGCAGAGUUUAAAAAACUUGUAGGUUUUAUUUUGAGGUUACAAGUUUCAGUCUGGGACUGAAAAGAUAUAAUAGUAAUCUGCAAAGUUCAAGGAUGUGUAAUUCUGGGAGCUCAGAAAGAAUUCAUAGCUCUUGUUCUCAGGAGCUCUGCAAACAAAGAUGCCAAAGGCAUAUCAGAUUGCCUUCUAAUACAGGGAGUAACAAGUAACAAUGACACAUUGAUUGCUUACUUAUGAAAAUUAUUUCCAUAAUGAUAUAAUAUUAGAAGACAAAUUCAGCUGCCUGACCUGCACAGGAGAUUGAAUUGAACGUAGGGUGUUAAAUCAGAGUGGAGUAGGGUUUGAAAAAACAGAAUAAAAGCAAUACCUAGGAAAACUACUGGGGUAGGGCAGAACAUGAGUUCUGAAAUAAGAAGAUCUGAACUUGAAAUGCUUCUUUACUGUGCAAUGUAGACAAUAUAAUCUGCUGAGCUCAAUUAGCUCAUGUAUAACCUGGAGUGAAGAUGCCUGUCUUGUACGGUUAUUGUAAGGAUAAAACAGGAUUCGGGGGAGAACCAGCCAGUGUAGGCAUUACCCAUUUUUGUGUUGUUUCAAAUAUAUUUUUUAUAUUUUAGAUACGUGUGUGUGCGUGUGUGUGUGUGUGUAUGUAUGUGUGUGUCUUCAUUGCUACAUUGAACAGUUUGACCCUAAGUAACUCACAAAUAGCAUUCUAGAGGUGCUUCAAAAAUACUAAGGAAGUCUAACCUUCUAGAUGUUAAAAUACAACUUUUAUACUGGUUCUACUUGCCUUCAAUGGAAAUUAUUGAAGAAAAAAUCAGCUGGGAAUGAGAAAAUAAUAAAACUGCUUUGAAAUGAUGAAGUAAAGAAAGUAGCUUGGAAAAAACAUGCCUGAAGGCAGGUCACAACUUGAAAUACAGUUACUAUGUUCCAUAAUGGGCAGAGUAAUAGAGUGUGUCUAAAGUACAACCAAAGUAGUCUAGUACACCACAAUAUCACAAUAUCCAGUAGUCCCCCCCACCUCUCUCUUUAAGCUCCCUCUGUCCUUUCUCUCUCUUUUCUGUCUUCUCUCUCUCUCUCUCCUCUCUCUCUGUACACUCUCUUUCUUCUCUCUGACUCCUCCCUCUCCUCUCUGACUCCUCUCUCUCCUUUCUCCUCCACCCUAUUCACAGGUUGGAUAACGUUUCUGAUUUAUUUGACAAAGGAUAUAGCUAUUCAGCUAGAAUGCAUGAGCCACUGAGAGCAAGUACGAAGCCAGUACACCUUGGCGGAGCUUCGUGAGGCCCAUCAGAUUCUCAGGUUGGAAUGCCAGGAAGUGUUGUUAGUGUUAGGAAGAUUCCAUGUGUAAGGCAGGAGCUCACUAGAUCUGAAGAGCUUAACAUAUGGCUGUACCAUAACUCUUUUUCAAUAGGGCUUACAAUGUUCUUUAGGGCAGCAUGUAGAUUUAAUAUUUCUAUUAAAGGGAAUGCUUGCAGACAUUAGGAGCCUCCAGGUUUUUAAGUCAACACAGCAUCAGGACCAUAUUGUUAUCCUGUGAAGAGCAAGGUGGCUGAUUUCUCUUCUUAUAUCCAGAUACAUUCUGGAUAAUCCAUUCCCCACAGUUACAGUCUGACUCUGGAUUUUGGAAUAUCUUUUUAUGAAAUGGAUAGGUCUGAUAAUGAAUUGGGUAAUUGGGUCUUAGGACUAGAAUCUUAAAUCCAUUCUCAAUUUUUAUGAAGUCACCAACCUUUUACACACAUGCUUUAAAAAAACCUGUCUACGAACAGAAACUCACUCCUGUGCUUAUCACCUGAUAGAAGAACAAAACUGAAUAUAAAACUCACAUAAUUUGUAUUGCUCAGUGUAUAACGCAUUAAAAACAAAUUUAUUUUUCUUUGAGGAAACUUUGUACUGCAUUCCCCUUUUUAAGAUCAUCAACUCGUUCCCCCUUUAAAUGCCUAAAUCAACACUAAUUAGAUUCGAGCAGCCAUUUCUUCAUGCUGGCCUUUUAUUUUUGUCCUCUUAUUUUUUCCCUUAACUCACCUAAAUCUUCCUCUCCUUUUUUAUCUUUUCUCCCUUCCUCCCUCCUUAUUGCACAUAAUUCAAAUAUCAAAAAUAUAAAGUUAUUUAAUGAAACAUUGCUUCCCCACUAGCUCUCUACUUUCUCAGUAUAUAUCUUGCCUCCUUCAUUACUCGGGUAAUCACUAUCACUUGUUUCUUUUUUCACUUAUAAAGAAUUUUUAUAUAAAUGCAAACCAAUAAAACAGGAAAUUUCAUUUCGUCUUUUAAAACUACAAGUAAUAACAUAUUAUACACGUUUUAUUCAACAACAGAUUGUAUUCAACCUUCUGCUGUUAAGAAGAGUUGCAAUAAAUAACCUCAUACAUGCAUCACUUCACACAUAUUAAUUAUAUCUCAAGAUAAUUCCUAGGUGUCACUUUGAUAAAUAUUACCAAAAUGCUCACCAAAGAUGCUGUACCAAUUUAUACUCUCAUCAGCCAUAGAUUAAAAUCUAUCCCAAAAUUCUUCCAGUUGAAUAUGUCAUGAACUUUUGGAUUUUUACCAAUCUGAAUGGGAAGAGGGAAACAUGUUUUUUCAGUGUUGUUUAAAUCUGUAUUUCUGUGUUGUGAAUAAGGUUAAAUAUCUUUUAAAAUAUUUUUAAAAAACUAUAUUUGCAUUCCUGUGAACUGUCUUUGCAUAUUCUUUGCCCACUUUUUUCUUUUGGGCUGUUGAUGAUUUUCUUAUCAAGUGGUAGGUCUUUAUAUGCCAGGAAGAUUAAGCUUUUGUGACAAAAAUUGGGAAUAUAUUUUUAAAUUUAGUUUGCCAUUUGCCUUUUUGACUACAUUGAUAAUGUUUAUUUUAUGUGUUGCCAUGCAAAAAUUUAAUUUUUAUGUAGUCAAAUGUAUUCAUUUUUUUCUCCCUACAGCCUCUGAAUAUUAUAUCAUAAUGAGAAAGUUUUUGUUUCUAAACUGAGGCUAUAAAUUAAUUCUUUCAUGUUUUCUUCUAUGAUUUUGUAUUCCAUAAUAAAUAUUUAACUUAUUUAAAUAUUUCUUCUAGGCCAGGUGCGGUGGCUCACACCUGUAAUCCCAGCACUUUGGGAGGCUGAGGCAGGUGGAUCACCUGAGGGCAGGAGUUUGAGACCAGCCUGACCAACAUGGUGAAACCCCGUCUCUACCAAAUACAAAAAGUCAGCCUGGUGUGGUGGCACAUGCCUGUAAUCCCAGCUACUUGGGAGGCUGAGGCAGGAGAAUCGCUUGAACCUGGUUGGGGAAGUUGUAGUGAGUCAAGAUUGUGCCAUUGCACUCCAGCCUGGGCAACAAGAGCUAAAAUCCGUCUCAAAAAAAAAUAAAAAUAAAUAAAUAAACAAAUGUUUCUUCUAGUAUAUAGUCCAUAUUCUGAGAUAGGCACCCAAUUUUAUUUUUUCUCAUUGGCUAUCUAGUUAUACCUACAUCUUGGUAUUAUUAAAAAGUCUAUCUUUUGGAGACUUCCGCUCCUGGGAAGAUGGAAUAGAGGUACAUUUCCCCCUUUCUCUCCCUAAGGAAAACUAAAAUUCUUGGACAUCAUUUGUAAAAUAAACAUGAGAAGACUCUGACAAGCAGAGACAAAGAUAUAAUAAUAAUGUCAUUGGAGCCCUGGAGUGAAGGAUAAAGAAGGCAUUGCUAAAUAAUUAAUUUAAGAAAUAAUGGCUGACAAUUUCUCAAAUUUGUCCAAAGCCAUAAACCUACAGAAUCAGGAAGCUGUGUGUAUUCCAAUUAGGGUAAAUCCCAAAAAACCACACCAAGACACAUGAUUAUCAAGCUUGUAAAAACUAAAAACGGGAAAAAAUCUUGAAAAGACCACAGUUACAUUAUCCCAUUGAGGGGAGACUUCUUAUCAGAAACCAUGAAGGCCAAAGGGGUGAUAUUUUGUUUCUCUCAGAAUUCUAUAACCAGCAAGCAUGUAAUUUGGGCUUUUAGAUAUAUUUAAGAUAUAUUUUAUCACAUUAAGAUGAGUCUACCUAAUACUGUAUUUUAAAAGAUUAUAUUCCAAGAGUGGAUUUUUAAUUGUCAAUCUUUGUGGAACACUUAGUUUAAUGUUGUGGUUCUCAAAGUUUUGGCUUCAGAACAACUUGUUUAUAACCUUAAAAAUUAUUGAGAACCCCAAAGGCUUUUGUUUAUUUAGUCUGUAUCUACCAAUAUCUUCUAUAUUAAAAAUUAGAACUGAGAUACUUAAAAAAUAUGUAUUAAUUUAUUUCGGAAUAAAGAUAAUAAACUCAUUACAUAUUAACAUAAAUUCAUAUAUUUAAAAGUACACUUUUCAAAGCAGAAAUGUCUCAUGAGAAGAUUGGCAUUGCUCUACAUUUGCUAAUCAUUUCAAUGUCUGACUUAAUAGAACACAGCUGGAGUCUCAUGUAUGUUUCUGCAUGCAAUCUGUUUUAGUAUAUUAUUUUGGUUGAAGUUUAUGUAGAAAAUCUGGUUUCACGCAGAUAUAUAGCUACAAAGUACAGAGUAUUUGAAUAGAUUUUUCAGAUAAUUGUAAAUAUCCUUCUUUGACAUGUCACUGAAACUCAACAUUAAAUAUUAAUAUUUAAAUAUUUUUAAGUAUUAACAUAUAUAUGGAAUAUUAAACCAUAUCAAUGAAAUUUUGGUAUUAUGUUACAUUAAAGUCCAUUGUCCAUUUUGUACUUCAAAUAGAUCUUUCCUCUCUUUGUGCUUUUGUGAAAUCACACUUUGGUCAUUUGAAAAAUACAGGUUCACUGACUUACACAGAGUUUCUAAAUAUUGACAUAUUUUAUUAAAUAACAUAAAGGAGGCUUUACUGACAUCAUCAAUGAUCUCAUCAGAAAAAUCUUCGCAUAUUGGAAAACUGAGAAGCUCAAAGUAGUAUAUAGAAUUUUUUCAAGAUUCUAAUUUCUGCUUAGUGUUUUUUCUUUAAGAGGCUCACUUGGUUCAUUUUUGAAAGUAUGUCUCCUAAAUAUGAGAAUCAGAUUAACCAUGGGCUGUCAAUUAUUCUUUCAAGUAAAGAUGGUGCUUCAUGAAAAGAAAAUCUGGUUCCACUUACAGCUGAAACAAUUGUCCAAGUACAUUUCCUUAGGAUAAUUAUCAUUCCUUGGUAUGUAGAAGUAUUCCAUGGACCUCCAUUUUGUUAUACAGAAUUUUGAAAAGACAUUCCUCAAGGACUGAAGUAUAAUAAGGUUAGGAUUUUUAAAAAUUUUUAAUUUUAGUGGGUUUAUAGUAGGUGUAUAUAUUUAUGGAGUACAUGAAAUAUUUUGAUACAGGCAUAUAAUGUGUAAUAAUCGUGAUAAUAAAGGAGCUAUC
rnacentral:lncRNA from 10 species